rnacentral:rRNA from 1 species
GAUCCUGGCUCAGGAUGAACGCUGGCGGCGUGCUUAACACAUGCAAGUCGAACGAAGCACUUCGUAAAGUUUACUUUAAGAAGUGACUUAGUGGCGGACGGGUGAGUAACGCGUGGGUAACCUGCCUUACACAGGGGGAUAACAGUUAGAAAUGGCUGCUAAUACCGCAUAAAACAGCAGAGUCGCAUGACUCAACUGUCAAAGAUUUAUCGGUGUGAGAUGGACCCGCGUCUGAUUAG